rnacentral:rRNA from 1 species
UACGUAGGGGGCAAGCGUUGUCCGGAUUUAUUGGGCGUAAAGAGCGUGUAGGCGGCUUUACAGGUCCGUUGUGAAAACUCGAGGCUCAACCUCGAGACGCCGGUGGAAACCGUAAGGCUAGAGUCCGGAAGGGGAGAGUGGAAGUUCCUGGUGUAGCGGUGAAAUGCGCAGAUAUCAGGAGGAACACCCGUGGCGAAAGCGGCUCUCUGGGACGGUACUGACGCUGAGACGCGAAAGCGUGGGGAGCAAACAGG